CGUUAAGAUAUUUGGUCUCGAACUGCGAAUACACGAAAGAAGAGCACGAAUAGAACAUUCAAACUACCUACAAAAUGGUUAUGGAAGUUGUUCUCGUAGCUCCUCCAACGCUUUAGUCAUUAAAUAGAUGGAGAUAAUACAUGUGCAGAGCACAAAUUGAUAAACUAAAGUGUACAUGAAUAAUGAAUUAGAGUCAAUUAUAUAUAGAAUUUGGGGAGAUGCAAUUCCGAAAGAAUUAGAAUGCCUACAUGGUAUCAUGUUGGCCAAAUAUGAUAUGACUCUUGAUCUUCUUAAGACUUAAAAGGAGUUGUUGGGACACAAGAAGUAUAAUGGAUUGGGGCUUCACAAGAAGAGUUAGGGUAGCACUCCUUGCUCAAUUAGGCGACUAAGGCUCGGGGUUUGAGGACUCCAAGCUCGGCCAUCUCCGCUAGGCUACCGGAUGGAUAUGUAGAGGGGGCAACAGGGUACCGUAUUAGGCCAUCACAUCACCUUGGAGUGAUGUGAUCAGGUGGCAAGGACACUCAUGGUCGAGACCCAUCCCUUUGUAGGUCGAGUCUAGAAGAUAUGGCCUCAUCAAAGAUCAAAGAGGAAAUAAAAAG
rnacentral:lncRNA from 1 species